CGAACGAUGAAGCCUUUCGGGGUGGAUUAGUGGCGAACGGGUGAGUAACACGUGGGCAAUCUGCCCUUCACUCUGGGACAAGCCCUGGAAACGGGGUCUAAUACCGGAUAACACUCUGUCCCGCAUGGGACGGGGUUAAAAGCUCCGGCGGUGAAGGAUGAGCCCGCGGCCUAUCAGCUUGUUGGUGGGGUAAUGGCCUACCAAGGCGACGACGGGUAGCCGGCCUGAGAGGGCGACCGGCCACACUGGGACUGAGACACGGCCCAGACUCCUACGGGAGGCAGCAGUGGGGAAUAUUGCACAAUGGGCGAAAGCCUGAUGCAGCGACGCCGCGUGAGGGAUGACGGCCUUCGGGUUGUAAACCUCUUUCAGCAGGGAAGAAGCGCAAGUGACGGUACCUGCAGAAGAAGCGCCGGCUAACUACGUGCCAGCAGCCGCGGUAAUACGUAGGGCGCAAGCGUUGUCCGGAAUUAUUGGGCGUAAAGAGCUCGUAGGCGGCUUGUCACGUCGGAUGUGAAAGCCCGGGGCUUAACCCCGGGUCUGCAUUCGAUACGGGCUAGCUAGAGUGUGGUAGGGGAGAUCGGAAUUCCUGGUGUAGCGGUGAAAUGCGCAGAUAUCAGGAGGAACACCGGUGGCGAAGGCGGAUCUCUGGGCCAUUACUGACGCUGAGGAGCGAAAGCGUGGGGAGCGAACAGGAUUAGAUACCCUGGUAGUCCACGCCGUAAACGUUGGGAACUAGGUGUUGGCGACAUUCCACGUCGUCGGUGCCGCAGCUAACGCAUU
rnacentral:rRNA from 1 species